UGAGACUCUAAGCCCCUGACCAGAUGAUUUCAGCAUUUGACGGGAUUCAGCUAUUAAUUCUUUGAUUCUCUUCUAAAUUCUUUUCAUAUCCUUCUUACCUAGCAGGACAAAAAUUUUAUAGUUUUGUGAGCACAUCUGACUGAAUUCUGCACACCUCUGAAGAACUGGUCAGGCUCUGCUGUCACAAAUCCAGAUUCAUACCAAUGACGCUCCAGAGCAGAAAAAUCCUCUUUCCAAGAAUAAACCACGGUUCCAGGUUUUGAUAUCAUAUGUAACUCCAAUUUUUUUUGAAAAAGGGAAGACUUCCUCCAUACUCUAUGCUCUGGAGCUAUUUAAAUAACAUGAAGGGACUUCCCUGGUGGUCCAGUGGUUAAGAAUCUACCUUCCAAUGCAGGGAAAGUGGAUUUGAUCCCUGGUCAGGGAACUAAGAUCCCACGCGCUGCAACUACUGAGCCCGCGUGCCACAACUAGAGAGAAGCCCACACGACACAACAGAAGAUCCCACGUGCACAACUAAGACCCGAGGCAGCCAAAUAAAUAAAUAAAUAUUAAAAUAAAUAAAUAGCAUGAAAAUGAUCUGUUCAAGGGUCAACUGUAUUUCUCUUUCAUUCUCUCUCUUCUUUCAACUUUCUCUAUUCCUUCUAUGAUAAUUUGUCUAGAAGUUCUAUCUUUUCUGCAGUGUCUUUUAAUAAUGCAUAUUUUCUGACACAAUCAUUAAUUACAUACAAAUUCACAAAAUUAUUUGCUUAGAUUUGAGUGAACGGCUCUAUAAUUUUUCGAAUGCCUUUGAGAGGUUAUUUCUCUAUUCUCAUUCCUAUUUUAUUUAUAUGUACUCUUUUACCCUUUUUCUUGAUUAGAUUAGAUUAGGGUUUCUCAGCCUUGGCACUACGGCCAUUUGGGGCCCAACGAUUCUUUGCUGUGGCGGACUGUCCCGAUAUUGUAGUACGUUCAGCAGCGUUCCUGAGCUUGACUCACCAGAUACCAGUAGCAACCCCCUUUCACCCCAGUUGUGGCAGCUAAAAUAUCUCCAAACAUUGCCAAAUGUCUGCUGGGGGUGAGGGUGGGGCAAAAUUGCCCAUGUUGAGAACUACUACAUUAGAUAACAGUUUAUCUGGAUUAUUUAAAUUUUCAUUUUGUUUUUAGAGAGCAAGAUGGUUUUAUUCUUCUAGUUCUAUCAUUUUUCAGUCUCAUUGACUUUUGCUUUUAUCUUUAUUACUUCUUUUGGAGCCAUUUUGUCUAUGUUUGUCUAAAUAGCUGGGUUGGAUGCCUCAUUUAUUUAUUACCGCUCUUACCUGUUUCACCCUAUGGUGUCAAGUGGGGUUCAAGGGGGUGUCUGCAUCCCCCAGCCCAGUCCACCCUCACAGAUCAUUUUGUAUCAUGCUAGAGGUCAUUGGCUUGCCCCGUGGAUGUUUCAUCACUUUGGAGAAGUCUGUGCUUUGCCAGCUCUUCCCAACUCUCUCCAUGAUUUGGAUUCUUAAUGUUUUCUAUUUUCCUCAGAGAAUGAGUUGCCAUUUCUUUUUAUCCUUUUUUGUGCAUUUGGUUCAUUUCAGAGUGAAAAAGAUGGUAGAAACACCUUUCAACAUCAUAUAAUCCCAAGUCUAAUAUGCUAAUUCUGUUAGGUCUGAUUUGAGCAAACGAUAUUGUUGGCUGCUAAUUGUCAAAAUGUACCUGCAGUUUGUAGGAACAGCAACUUGCAAUGUCACUUGCUUACAUCAGUCCUCAGAACCAUCAUCCAAAUCUUUAUUUUUGACAAACUAAAUUGUACUACCACCCUACUGUUAGAAACAGCAAACAGACAAAUCCCAGUUGUGGUGCGUUGAUGAUUUAAAAUAAUGCUCUUCUUGCCACAGAGGCAUUGAAUGGAUGAUGACUUCCAUAAACAUGGUGGCCCAGCGCAUCUAAUGACUGUGCUGCCAGGCAAAACAUGGAUGUCAACGAGCGUUACCCGGAUGAAAAACACUGAGACAUGGGAGCCCUCUUCCUUGUGGAACCCAGAUUUUAUGGACAAAGCCUGCCAACUGUAAUGACCCCUGAGCAUCAUUGAGAUAGGCUUGGAGCUGGGACGCUUUGCUGCAACGCUUGCCCCUGGACAAAUGUCUCCAAUCUUCAGAGAUGGUUUCUGGGGGAUGCUGAGUCCACCGCAUCCCCAGAUUGCCGGAGUUCUGACUACAAGCUGCUUUCCUUUCUGCCAACAUUUGUCUCUCUCUCGAGUGCUGAGUUUUGAGCAGCUUUCUUAGCAGUGAGCAGCAGGACCCAGCACCAGCAGAUAUUCUGAGGACUUCAAGCCCAGGACACAGCAUCUCCGAUAACGCUGAGAAACUGUUCCAAAGAGACAAGCAGAGGAGCCAGGAUAUAUAGAAGUUUUUGCCGCAAAAGACCAGGUUCUGAAGAGGCAGCAAUGUUCCUGCAUCUGUGGGAGCUUACAUUCUAGUUGAUGAAAUAAGAGAAACACACGAGAAAGUAUCAGAUGGGGCUGAACAGAAAACCUGGGAGAGUGCUGUGGUAGAGAGUGGCUACCUCCGAUUGGGCCUCAGGGAAGACUGGCCAGAGGAGGUGACUUUGAGUAGCAAUCUACUAUACAGCAACUGUGGACCAUGCUGAGUUCAGGAGGAAGGACAUUCACGGCAGAGCACAGCCUGGGCAAAGGAUCUAAUUAUUGGUAAUCAAUUCUGAGUGUUCGGUGGACAGAACGAAGUACUGUGGCUGGAGUGUGGCUGGCAAGGGGCAAGUGGGAUAUGGUGAGGUCAGAGAGCUCGCCGGCCAGGGUGAGGAACUGGUUUUUACUCGUGAUGUUGUUGGAGGACAAAUUGGAUGUUUUUCUACAAAGAAGUGACACAAUCUGAUUUAUAAUAAACAACUGAAUAGGUAAAUAAACAAGAUACUUUCAGACCAUGACACAAACUCUUUAACAAAUAAAUAAACAAGAUACUUACAGAAGAGGAUGACACAAACCUUUUAAUGAGUAAAUAUGUAAAUGAACAAGAUGCCUUUGGAGUAUCACCCACUGCCAGUCCAUUAAUAGACUACUCCCAUAACAUCUUGGUUUAUAGGAACAUUGUGACCAGACCUACCUGGACAGCUACAAGAACAAAGGAUUCCAGGACCAAGAAGUCUGCAACGACCAGCCACACCCCCUCCACUUUUAGUAAAAAAGAAGCCUGAAUUCUAAAUCAGGUAAGAUGGUUCUUUGGGACACUAGUCCACCGUCUUCUUGGUCUGCUGGCUUUCCAAAUAAAGUCACUAUUCCUUGCCCCAACAA